rnacentral:rRNA from 1 species
AGAGUUUGAUUAUGGCUCAGGAUGAACGCUGGCGGCGUGCUUAAUACAUGCAAGUCGAACGGAGUUUAAAUGAAACCUAGUGAUUUAAACUAGUGGCGGACGGGUGAGUAACGCGUGGGUAACCUGCCCUGUACAGGGGGAUAACGGCUGGAAACGGCCGCUAAAACCGCAUAACAUCGGAAUACCGCAUGAUGUUCCGGUCAAAUAUUUAUAGGUACAGGAUGGGCCCGCGUCUGAUUAGCUAGAUGGUGAGGUAACGGCCCACCAUGGCGACGAUCAGUAGCCGUACUGAGAGGUAGAACGGCCACAUUGGGACUGAGACACGGCCCAAACUCCUACGGGAGGCAGCAGUAGGGAAUAUUGGUCAAUGGGGGAAACCCUGAAACCCAGCGACGCCGCGUGAGUGAAGAAGUAUUUCGGUAUGUAAAGCUCUAUCAGCAGGGACGAUAAUGACGGUACCUGACUAAGAAGCCCCGGCUAACUACGUGCCAGCCGCCGC